rnacentral:rRNA from 1 species
ACGAACGCUGGCGGCGUGCUUCACACAUGCCAGUCGAACGGGAAGGCCCUGCUUUUGUGGGGUGCUCGAGUGGCGAACGGGUGAGUAACACGUGAGUAACCUGCCCUUGACUUUGGGAUAACUUCAGGAAACUGGGGCUAAUACCGGAUAGGAGCUCCUGCUGCAUGGUGGGGGUUGGAAAGUUUCGGCGGUUGGGGAUGGACUCGCGGCUUAUCAGCUUGUUGGUGGGGUAGUGGCUUACCAAGGCUUUGACGGGUAGCCGGCCUGAGAGGGUGACCGGCCACAUUGGGACUGAGAUACGGCCCAGACUCCUACGGGAGGCAGCAGUGGGGAAUAUUGCACAAUGGGCGGAAGCCUGAUGCAGCAACGCCGCGUGCGGGAUGACGGCCUUCGGGUUGUAAACCGCUUUCGCCUGUGACGAAGCGUGAGUGACGGUAAUGGGUAAAGAAGCACCGGCUAACUACGUG